rnacentral:rRNA from 1 species
ACAGGUGCUGCAUGGCUGUCGUCAGCUCGUGUUGUGAAAUGUUGGGUUAAGUCCCGCAACGAGCGCAACCCCUAUUGUUAGUUGCCAUCAUUCAGUUGGGCACUCUAGCGAGACUGCCGGUAAUAAACCGGAGGAAGGUGGGAUGACGUCAAAUCAUCAUGCCCCUUAUGACCUGGGCUACACACGUGCUACAAUGGUUGGUACAACGAGUUGCGAGUCGGUGACGGCGAGCUAAUCUCUUAAAGCCAAUCUCAGUUCGGAUUGUAGGCUGCAACUCGCCUACAUGAAGUCGGAAUCGCUAGUAAUCGCGGAUCAGCACGCCGCGGUGAAUACGUUCCCGGGCCUU